GUGCUCACUUUGGCAGCACAUAUACUGAAAUUGGAAUGAUAAAAAGAAGAUUGGCAUGCCCUCUGUGCAAGGUAUUUUUAUGUAAAAUUGAAUCACUUUGCU